AUACGUAGGGGGCGAGCGUUGUCCGGAAUUGUUGGGCGUAAAGGGCGUCGUAGACGGCCGGAUAAGUUACUUGUGAAAGCCCGCCUUUCAAGGGCGGAACUGCAAGUAAUACUGUCUGGCUUGAGUGCAGGAGAGGAAAGCGGAAUUCCUAGUGUAGCGGUGAAAUUCGUAGAUAUCGGGAGGAAUACCGGUGGCGAAGGCGACUUUCUGGCUGGAUACUGACGCUGAGGCGCGAAAGCGUGGGGAGC
rnacentral:rRNA from 1 species